rnacentral:rRNA from 1 species
AUACGUAGGUGGUAAGCGUUACCUGGAAUUAUUGGGCGUAAAGAGUGAGCAGGCGGCCGUUUAAGUCUGAAGUCAAAUGCAGUGGCUUAACCACUGUCCGCUUUGGAAACUGGAUGGCUAGAGUACGAGAGAAGUAAGCGGAAUUCCAUGUGUAGCGGUGAAAUGCGUAGAUAUAUGGAGGAACACCAGAGGCGAAGGCGGCUUACUAGAUCGAUACUGACGCUCAGUCACGAAAGCGUGGGUAGCAAAUAGGAUUAGAUACCCUAGUAGUCCACGCCGUAAACGAUGAGAACUAGGUGUAGGGUCAAACCCUGUGCCGAAGCUAACGCAUUAAGUUCUCCGCCUGGGGAGUACGUUCGCAAGAAUGAA